CAACGUGUGUAUUCAACCCGUUGCUGGCAACACUCACGGUAGUGGCUAACGUUGUCGCCGUUCAGUUGUAACGCGUGCGUCAUUACAUUCGCAACUGUUCCGAAAUAUUUCGGAGUUAGAAAUAAUUCCGUGGGUUUCGUGAUAGUUUUUCGCGAGUUCGACGACGGCCAUAUUAACAUCAGACUUUUCGUCUAACUGCCUACGUCAGAAACGCGCUGUGCAGCCUACUCCGGGAUCGUUCUACGCCGAUCGCGGUGCACCGCGGUGCCACUGGCAAACUCCGCGUUCGCUCUUCGUCUACCAAACGGUACGUUCAUGUUGUUAAUUAUUUUACAUACUUUCAGGUAAUUUCGUACGAAUUCGAUAUUAUAUACUUUUCGUUAACAGAUUACUUCUUAACUUUCCAUCCGAAAUCGUAACAAAAAUCAUUUAUAUCCAGCAAUAUGAGAAUAUUUGAAAAAUAAUAUAAUUUUUUAGUCUAAACGUGUAAAAUCGACUAAAUUCGUAUUUUAAAUGACAAUAGAUAAUAACUAUAACUAUAACUACCUAUGUUAUUAAUUUUUUAAACGGAUUUGACUAUUAAUUUCGAUUUCAAAUCGCUCGAAUUUAAAUAAAUGGGCCGAGAGGGGACACUAGUAUUAUUUGAAGUUAAUCAAAAUAUUUAUUUUUGAACAAACAUAAUAUAUUUAUUCAUGUAUUUAUUAUCCGUUUGAUUUUAGUUUGAAAAAAAAAUAUUUCUCUUGUUUGGAUAGAAAUGAUAUUUGCUAUAGAAUGUUUAGAUCAACUACUAUUGAAUAAUAGUUAAAAUUUGAUCAGGUUACGAACGCUGCUUUAUCGAAAUUUCUUAUUGAUUAUACCUAGCUAUAAGUUUAAGAUAGAUUUUUUUUAAUCACGAGAUAUUACGGAUUUUUCGAAAACUGACAGUGUUAUUUUGGCAACAGAAAAAAGCACGACGUAUUUUAUAGCACGUGUGCUACGAAUAAUCGUUGCUUACAGAAUAAUUAAAUAUUGAAUUACGCCAUAUCCUACAUACUAAGUGAUUCAUUUAUCGUACGGCAUUGAGUAUUUCGAAAAAUAUUCAUUUUUUUUUUUUUUUUUUCGAAAUUUAAAAAUUUUAAGAAAUAUAUCACUGUAAAAUGUCCAACUAAUAUUUGUUUUGUCAUCUUUAUUUUCGGAAGUGAAACCAUUAAGUACCUACGUUUGAUUAAAAAUCGAAAAACUACGUUGAAAAUGUCAAGCAUAGAUAGAGUAUGAGUUAAAAUAAAUUUAGGUGUUUGCAUUUUUAAUUUCCGACAACUUGUUGGCGGGAUAUUCAACUCUUAAGUUUUGGCGGGAAAAGAGUAGUGAUGCAUCCAUUUGUGUGGCGGCGCCACGCGCAACGUUUUCAUAGUGUCCCGCCACUAAUCUCCCGCCGAAAUUUAAAAGUCGAGUACACGUUAACGGAUUAACGGAAAUCGAAAAUUUCAACACUAUAAUUUAUUUAAACCAAUACUGUUUAUGAAAUUUUCAAUAUUGGUUGCCGAUUUGAAAAACAAAAGUAUAAUACGUUGUAUCCCGUCAUGUUAGACGGAUUUUUCUAGCGCUGUUUUUAAAUUUUUUCUCAAUCGGUUUGUCUUCGAGAGGAACAUAGAUUCGAAGAAAAUUAAAAUGUUUAUUUUCACCCACCAACACACAAAAAAAAAAUACUUUUCAUCUAGUCACUUGAGAAAAUUUUGAAAAUAGCCAUUUUGUAAAAAAUAUUAUUAUAAAUGUUUGAAUGUAUCAUACAUUCAUAUUUGAUUAAUAGUUUCUCAAUUAUAGCCGUUUUAAUUUCUAUAAAAUAGGCGUGAAAAUAAUUAAUGUUCAAUAAAAGGCAAAGAAUUACAGUGCUGAUUGUAAUUUCUUGUCACAUAAAGUGUUAUUUUAUUGAAUAUCAAUUGUUUUCACGCAUAAUUAUAACGGCUAUAACUAAGAAUUUAUUCAUCGAAAAUGAAUGUAUGAAACAUUAAAAUUUUUUGAAUAAUAUUUUUUACAAAACAGCUAUUUUAAAAUUUGUCUAAAGUGAAUAAAUAAAGUUAUUAUUUUUUUUUUUGUUGUUUAUAAGGGAUAAAAAUACAAAUUUUUUUCUCCAAAUCGAUGAUCCCUCAGAGACAAACUGAUUGAAAAAUAAAAAAUAAAAAAAAUUUUAACAUUAACUAGAAAAAUCCGUCGAACAUAGUGGGACACACUGGAUAGUCGUUUCACCUCCAAAAAUAAUGGUGACAUUAAAAUAUUUAAAAAAGAACUGAUACUAUUCACAGAUGCAUUACUGAGAAAAGUUGGAAUAGUCGUAUGGAGGAUAUAUGAAGUAGUUUAAUUUAUAUCUGUGCGCAACGAUAAACCAUUUCUAACGAAAAACGAUUCUAAGCAUGGAUCAUAUAUUUCCCUUGUUGCCACAGUAAUUACCAGUUUUUUUUGGAUCAAAAUUCCAUGGACCCGUAACCUCUUUAAUUCACCAACUAGAUUCAAAAUGCAACAAAAAAAGUCUCUGUUAUUUAUCGAUUGGGGAACGAUUUAUGGUAAAAAGUUGUUUACAGACACAAAAAAUUAAAAAAUUAGCUUCACUGGCUACACUUAAAAUCUAAAAAUAAUAAAAAGGUAUAAAAGACAAUAAUUAUAUACAUAAAAAAAAAAAAAUAAUAAUAGUAGUGCACUUGAAUUCAAUUGAAAUAUGACGAAAUUACUGUGUUUAAAUUACGAAGAUUCCCACCAAAAACAAUAUAUAUUAAUUUUUUUUAAAUAUAUUAUUUUAACUGUUUUUUAUUGUUUUAUAGUUUUAUAGUAUGAAGAUGGCGAACGUGAAAACGAACCAUCGGCAUAUAUUAAAUAUACAAGUACAUCUAUAAUUUUAUUGUAAGUCAAUGCAAUUUAAUAAACAAAUUGUAACUUAGGAUUAUGCUUAAAAUUAAAUUUUAAAUAUGUUAUACGUGUCAAUCAGUUGUAAAUUUUUUUUUUUAUGUCCCUUAGUAAAUGUUCAGAUAAUUUAUAAUUUAUUACUAACUUUUACCAGCUAAUAAGACUAUAUUUUAAAUUCCUGGUAGGCAAAUCCGGGUAGUAACUAUAAUUACAAAGUAAAACUUAAGUUAUAGCUGUUAAGUAAGGCUGUGAAUUUGUAGGAAAGUAUAUUUUUUUUAGCUGAUUGUGAAACAUAGCUUUCUAAGCGCAUAAUUUGAAUUAUGUAUAUUUUAUACAUUAUAUGCAUUUUUGUAUAUUUUUAAGGUUUUUACUGAAUUAAAGUUAUAGCCCUAGUUAUAAGUAACUUUAUUUAAUAACUUUUAACUUAACUAAGUUAAUAAAUAGCAGAGUCGUUAGAAAAUAACAUAGUUAUUUCUUUUUAUAUCUUAAUAUACUGGAUUCAACUUAAUUAUUUUCUUAUUAUGUAAAUUAUAUUAGGAUUUUUUUUUUUUUUAAUCUUGUAUUUUUACGUUAAUAUCAAAAUCACAUUAUAAGAUGAACAUGUAGCUAGGGAUACCCAAACGAGUCUUGUAUUUGUAAAUGAACCAAAAUGUUGGAACAUAACAUAACGUUAGUGGUGGAAAACUAUCGAUAGCAUUAUCAAUCACUAUCUAAAAUUUCGACUAUUGGAUACCAUCGAUAGUUCUGAUUAUCGAAUAUCAUCGAUAAUUUUUACUAUCGGACACUAUCGAUAGUUAUUACUAUCGGAUAACAUCGAUAGUUAUCACUAUCGGAUAACAUCGAUAGUUAUCACUAUCAGAUAACAUCGAUAGUUAUCACUAUCAGAUAACAUCGAUAGUUAUUACUAUCGGAUAACAUCGAUAAUUUUUACUAUCAGAUAACAUCGCUAGUUUUGACUAUCGUAGACUAUCGAUAGUUGAAAAGCCACAAUAGUUUGCAAUAGUUUUAAAAAUCAUUAUUAAACUUUAUAAUCACGAUUUAUCGCUGAAUAUCAUGCCCUAGCUAUCAACUACACUCAAGAUUCAAUUCUAAUUAGGUACAUUAAACUAUUUACAUUCUAUCAGGAUAUUUAAAAUCAAGAAAACCAUGAAAUAACUAUUCGUUUGUAUAACUUUAAUAUUUGCAAAGUGUAAUAGAUAAAUAACCAAAAAAAAUAAAACUUUCGAUAGUUAUUAUUAGCAAGCUAAAAACUAUCGGGCAUUAUCGAUAGUCAUAACUAUCGAUAGUUCUCAACCUCUAAGGGAUACUGUUGUCACAAUUGGUAACGAGAUCUUAAAGCAUAGAAGGUUGAUAAGUUUUUUUUAGAAUAAGUUAACUCAGACUAGAUAGUAAAAAAAUUGGUUAACUUGCCCAGUUUUAAUCGUAUCUGACCUUUAAAAUUCAACAAAAAAAAAGUAUUAAAAUAUGUCUUAAUAUUUCUUCAGCUGGUAAAACUUAAGUUUAACAAUAAUAAUUACAUGGUACCGAGAAAAAAUUCAAGAUAUCAAUGUUUUUACCCAAUUAAGCAUCAUCCUAAUGUAAUCAUAAACCGAUUAGGUUCAAUCUGGUAACGAACGUGUCAAUACGUUUUCUAAGUCAAUAGGAUCAACGAAGAUGUAUAGAGAAGAAAGCACAUAUCUUGACGAGGCCUCAAGCGCCGAAUCGUCUUUUCAGCAAAACAUCAAGAAUAAACUGAUAAGACCGCAGUGGCUCUAUGAUGACAUAUCGGCAUCCCAGCGUUCAGUGUCGCGGGUCCAAAUCCCGCGCCGUGCGUAUUUUUUUCAUUUAAUUCUCGAUAUUUUUUACUGGUCACGAUCAUGUCAUCAUGUGGUUUUGUUGGUAAGAAUCAAUUGUAUCAACAGAUAUGUAGCAACUACUGGAAACAAGACGACGACACGACGACGAACAACCAAAUAUCUGAUUUUUGUUAUUGUUAAAGACAGUGCUUGAAUUGGAAACGCAAAAGUAUAAACAAAACUGUGCUUACCUAAACAUUUGAAUGUUUUCAUUCAUGUUCCUAAAUGUGUUCAUUAUGAUAAAUUAUAAGGGGAAAGUUUCUGUUUUUUUAUUUAUAAAAAAGAAAAAAGGUAUAGGUACUUUAUUCCCCACGUACUCCCCCUCCACAAUACAAGCACUGUUUUAAACGUUCGUGAUUAACGAACGUUUAACAUAAUAUAUGUUAUGUUAUUUAAGUUUAACUUAUUAGAAAUGUAAUUUAACUUAAAAUAGUAUAUACAAAAUUGUACGAUAUAUUUAAUGAAAAAAAUUGUUAGGAAUUAUUGAUUCAAAUCACGAAUAUGAUGGAGGUAGGAUUUUUUAUAUCGUGUUCCUACACAUAAGCCUUUGGUAUACAUGAUUGUUUAGUUACGUUGUUUACAACAAAAUAUUCUCCGAUUCCUAUACUCAUUUUUUCCUAUUUGCGAUCCUGGUCAUUUUUCAAAAGGUACUAAAAAUAUAUUUAAUACAAUUUUAUAAAAAUUGAUGUAAGUUUUGGUACAUUGACAGAAAAAUACAAAAGUUUAGUAUGUAUAUAUGUCACGGACAAAGUAGAACAAUUUUUUAUUGUCUAAGCAUUGUGUACAAUGUCCGUAUCCAAUAUAGGACAAAGUAAAUAAACUAUAGAAUAUUAAAUAAUAAUUUAAAUAAAUAUAUGAUACUAUUAUUAAAUAUUUGAAAA
rnacentral:lncRNA from 1 species